rnacentral:rRNA from 1 species
GUACACGCUGUGACUAGCAUAUCAAUAAGCGGAGGAAAAGAAACUAACAAGGAUUCCCCUAGUAACGGCGAGUGAAGCGGGAAGAGCUCAAAUUUGAAAUCUUAAAGGGGUUUCCCUUUACGAAUUGUAGUUUAAAGAAGUGUUUUCUGUUGAGGUUUUGGUAAAAGUUCUUUGGAAUAGGACAUCAUAGAGGGUGAGAAUCCCGUAUUUGACCUUUACUUUCAACUUUGUGAUACACUUUCAAAGAGUCGGAUUGUUUGGGAAUGCAGUCCAAAAUGGGUGGUAAAUUUCAUCUAAAGCUAAAUAUUGGCGAGAGACCGAUAGCGAACAAGUACCGUGAGGGAAAGAUGAAAAGAACUUUGAAAUGAGAGUUAAACAGUACGUGAAAUUGUCAAAAGGGAAGCGUUUGACACCAGUGUUGUUUUUCUGAAAAUCAAUUAAAGAACUGUUUAUGCUAAGCUGUUUAGACUUUAUCAGCUAAUCUGUUUAGUUUUGAGCUUUUCUUUAAUGCACUUUUCAGUUAACAAGUCAACAUCAAUUUCUUUUGCUGUAAAAAAGCUUGAGGAAGGUGGCUUGAGAUUCGUCUUAAGUGUUUAUAGCCUCUUGCCUAUGCAGUCGGAGAGAUUGAGGUCUGCAGCGUAGAUCCUUCGGGGCUAAAUGCAUUUGUGCUAAGUUAUAGCAUUUUAUAGACAACUUGUUGACUAUGAUUUGUCUUGUAGCUUACUCGCUUAUGUUAUUUUACCUACGCUUAGGAUGUUGAACUACUGAGACAUAGA